UUAAUGUAACAGGUAUUUUUGUAAAGGGACUUUUAUUUUGAUGGGUUGCCCCGUUUUCGGGUAUGUUAGCGGGAGGUGAAAAGAUGUCUGGGAAGAAGGAGAAAAAGAGAGCAUUUUUACGAGAGAAAGACACGCCAUGAUUGCUGUGUGGGAAAUCAGCAGUUUUUCAACGGAAAACGUGAAAGAAGAUAGUAAUAUACAGUUCAUCUGAGUUUUUGUGAGUUAAACGAACAUUAACGCCAUCGUCGUCUGAGACUGGAAACGGAGCUGGUGCAGAAGUUCGGCUGAUUGCGUCAUCGAACAGCGUGAGAGACUGGCUGAGAGCACGAGAGUUAGUUGCUGGAGCCGUGAGUUUCUUCCUGAACGCUGUUGUUUUGCAUCUUUCGAACUGUAUGUAUUUUUGAGAGUUUUUCUGCGUGCCUGAGUCAUUAAUGAGCUGUGCUUUGGACUGAGAGACGUUAAUUUCUUCCUGCUUGUCAGUCAAGUGCACUUGUUAGUGCGUGAGAAGAUGUAAAUGAACUGGAAGUGAUGUUUUUUCGUUUUCGCUCUCUCUCUCUUUUUGCAUUUUUGUAGAGACUGCCCAUUGCCUAAGAUCCGUUUUGCUUUUGGGAAACUUUUAUUAUUAUUUUUUAUUUUUUUUCUUAUUGAGACUGAGUCAGUGCGUGCUGUGGCAGAGCUGCGCCAUUUUGUUCCAGGAAAUUCCGGGUUUUUUUUUGGAAAUUUGCUAGUUUUAUUAUUAUUACCCUGCCAUCCUGACGACAUCUCCUUACUUUCCUGUCCCAGCUGUUCAUUUCUCUAUUACAGGUCAUCUCAAGUCAUUGCAAGUAAUUUCUUCAAUUUCAUCAUCGCUAAAGACUGGUACAACGUUCAUUGCACAUAUACAUACAUGAACUCUUACUGAUAUAGACUGAACUGCGAACUUGAACUAGGUAACUGAACUGGGUUUGAUGUGAAAAUUGAAUCAUCUGUCGAAUCGCA
ensembl:lncRNA